rnacentral:lncRNA from 1 species
CAGCCCUCAGCAGGGAGGGAGCUAAGGGCCAACGCAGCUGGUUAUUAAAGAAGUUUAUCUGGAUUGUUUUUAAUGAGGGAUUUCUCACUUCAUUAAAACAGAAGAAACAGUAUAUUCCGGGCCCUGAGAGGAAUCCACUUCUUUUUCGUGGACGAAGCCCCUUGGGCACAGAUGCACUGAAGAAGAUGGGCACACAAAAGCACAGGAACUCAACCGUGUGUGUUCAACCCACAAGCACGUGUCUCCGUGCUGCGUGGACCCCGAGGGAGGCAGCAGGUCCGAGCUGGGAGGCGGCCCUGUUCCGGCCUCUGUCAGUGACUUCGAGGAGGAGGCCUCACAGCCCAGCCGCGGCGACAGGCUCCCUGAGAAGCCGCCACAGAGAAGUGUCACGGCAAACAGAGAACCCUGAAGCAGUGGGCUACAGGAGAGGUGAGUUUGGAGGGGUGAGGCAAGGUGAUGGGUGGUCAGACCCGGCUGGAGGGGAAGCCUGAUGGGUGACCUGGGUGGCCAGGGAGCAGCUAAUCACAGGGAAGAAGAGUUAUGGAGAGAGGACAGAGAGGGACAGUGGGAAAGAUGCUAAAGAAAACAGCCUCCCUUCCAUCAGUCACGACUGCCUUCCUGAGGUCAGGAAGGACUAAAUGGUCGCAAAACUCUCUCACAACUUGUUCCUACCUCCUUUCCACAGCAGGGCUUGCCUAGAUGGAGACCAUCUGAGGCCAAAAAUUAUUUCACAUCAGCCUAGCCCACUCCUUCAGAACAACCAGGAUAAGCCACAUCCACCCCAUUGGUCUAUGUGAGAGCAACAACCCCUGGAAUAGCCGUUGCUACUGAAAAUGUAAAAAUGGUCCUUCCCCUCCUGGCCACGACCAGGUCUCUGAAGCCCCUCUUCUCUUCCCGCCAUCCCUCCCCUGGACCGUCCAGGACUGGGGAUAUUCUGUGAGGGGCCAGAACCAGAAACCCUGGGGUGUGACCAACCUUCUCGAGGGCUGGCGUGCUCAGUCCCAUGAAUGACAACUCAGGUUCGUAAAGGUGAGUGUCUUCCUUCCGGGUGUGUUCACCAGUUCCCUGACAGGAGAAUGCCGACCUCAAAAGAGGUGGGAAGAGACCGUAGGGAACAUCCUUCUGAAGGAAUGAGAGGACCGUAGGGGGCGGGCAUUAGGUCUGGAGAGAGAAAUGAAACAAAAUUGUGGAUGCUGGUCUUCAGGUGACAUGAAGCUUGCACCUGCCGUGUGCGAUUUGCACACCCUUGUUGCAGUUUCCACACGGUACCAUACUCAUAGCAAUGCAGCCCUACUGUACAGCACAGGGAACUACAUCCGGUCUCUUGGGAAAGACCAUGAUGGAAGAUGACACAAGAAAGGGAAUGUAUGUAUAUGUGUGUCGGGGUCACUUUGCUAUACAGCAGAAAUUGGCACAACAUUGUAAAUCAACUAUACUUUAAAAACAAUUGGUUUCACCUGUUUAGACUGAUAAAGCUUCUAGGACCAGGUGAACUGUGUCAUGAAAACCAGUGAGGAAGAAGGCAAAGAGGAAUAAACANACAACAACAAGACAAAAAACAAACAAACAAACAAACAAAAGUCAAAAAAAUAAAUAAAAAUAAAAACAAUUUGUUUCAUACAAAUGGUACCAUAUUCAAGCUCCACCUCUUAUUAGCUGUGUGGCUUUGGACAAGUUACCUAACCUUGCUGAGCCUCAGUGUCUUCACCUAUAAAGUAGAAAUGACCAGAAUGGGUACAUCCUAGAAUUGCUGUGAGAAUUGAAAUAACCCUGUAACACAUUUCCUUCAUGGUAAAUAUAUGAUAAGGGAAGUCAGUAUUAUCAUCACCUGGGAGUGUGUGUGUGUGUGUGAGUGAAAAACAUCUGAGAGAACAGAGUUUGAGGAAUGAAAGGGUCCAAGGAGAAGCUGACCCUCCCUUCUUGAUCUUGGAAUAAUUCUCUUGAGUGUAAUUCCCAGUGGGAGGCAUCACCCCAAUCUCAACAAUCAACUGUGAAGUCAACUACAGCCACUUCACACACCAGCCUCCCUCUGUGGGCUGAGAGCUCUCGUCUGAGGGGCCACCAGGACCGCCCCUUUGGGAUGACAUCCUGCGUUAUAAUCAGACCCUGACAAUUGCUCCAUUUUUCAGUCUCUAAUGUACUAUCAUUAUCUUAAUUAAACUUCAUAACCACCCUGUAAGGUAAAUCGGACAUCUGUUUUCGUCCCAUUUUACAGUUGAGAAAACUAAGGUCUGCAGAGGUAAAGGACCAGCCUAAAUUGACAUGACAGAGAGGGCUCUGUGGGCACAUGACAGGGGAGCCUCAUCUUCUGACUUCCAGACAAGUGCCUUUCUACUGUAGCCUUUUCCCCGCUGGGCCAGGAAAGCUGACUGCUGCUUCUCCACUCCCUCAGCUCAGCGUUACCUGUCAGCCUUGGCUCACUUCCCUCCCUGGCCUUCAGUAACUCCACCUGUAGGAUGGGCCCAAGCAGUGCCCAAUGGGUGGGAUUGUUAUGGGGAUUAGCUGGAAGGGUGGUUGUGAAAGCACCUCAGCCAGAGUCGGGCACAUAGUAGGUACUCAAUAAAAAGUCGAUGGGUUUUAGUUAAUUGCAUGUUAUACUUGAACACUUCCUGGACAGGUAAUGAGAAAAAUUCGGUGUGAGUCACUGACUCUUGGUCACUCGUCAGCUAUGUCACCUUGUGUAAAUU